AGUAACAGUCAUAAUGCAGCCCUAGGCACAAUCCACUACUAUUCACUACAAUCCACAGACAUUGCUAUGGCAGAUUCAAUUAAUUGAAUUCCAACUUGGACAUAUUUUGCUCUGUGUCUCUGUAGGUUGUACUCUCGUAGAAUGUAAUCUGAAGGAGAUCCACGUCUUCUCAGGCCAGUCUGUUCUCCUGCCCUGCACUGACCUCCAAGCUAAACCUCAAAGCCUCACAUGGAACUUCCAAAAACAAAACAGUGAGUGUUGGAUACCAAUAACCCAGAGUGAUCUCUACAGGUACAGCGUGGAUAUUUUAAAUAUUGUGAACUCUCCUGGGAACCUCUCUCUCCACCUCUCACACAUCACUAAGGAGGAUCAUGGGGUGUAAAGGUGUACAAUCAAGGAUAGAGAAGACAGGAACACAUACUGUACAUCAGACUCUUUGUAAAAGGAUGAUCCCUCUGCAAUGUAAUCCAUGGUUGCAGACAGAAACACUGGUUUAGGUGACAAGACAACCACACCACUCAUUACACCAGAUGAUGAUCCCUAUGCAAUGUCUGCUGCCUGUUCACACAAACAUCAAACAAGAGGAGGCAACAACACUCCACAGUGCACCAGAUCAUCAAUCAGUGAUAUACUCCACCAUUGUCCACAUGAAAGGAAAAGGGAAGGCAGCAGUGAGUCUGGAGAUGUCACGGUCGUGAUAAUGGACGGACCAAGAUGCAGCGUGUGUUGAGUUGCAGUGAAAACUUAAAGAAAACAAUAAACAUACAACGACCAUGAACUACGUGGUACUGAAUGCACUCACACAAAACAAUAUCCCACAAACACGGGUGGGAAAAAGGGCUACCUAAAUAUGAUCCCCAAUUAGAGGCAACGAUUACCAGCUGCCUCUAAUUGGGAACCAUACAAACCACCAACAUAGAAAUACAAAUGCUAGAAACCUCCCUAGUGACGCUCUAACCUAUACACAAUAGAGAACUCAGAGGGCUCUCUAUGGUUAGGGUGUGACAGGAGAAGAGUGGAGAAUUUGUGUUUAUUUAACUUUUAUUUAACUAGGUAAGUCAAUUAAGAACAAAUUCUUAUUUACAAUGACGGCAAGAGUAUGCCAGCAUUAAGAUGAGCAGAUCCUCCUAGAGCCAUUAUACAGUAGGCCACAGAAUAUGAGUGGUUAUUGUUACCAUGUAUUACUUAACUGUAAAUAUGUUUCCCUCUUCACAUUAAAAUCUUGAUCUUACAACACAUUUAAAAUACCAUAUGAUAGAAAUCAAAUUUGAUACAAAUUACAUUAUGUAUUUUGUCUUUCACUUUUCUUCUGCUAUAAUACCAUAAAUUAAAUGCAUUCUGUAAAUAUGUACGAUAUAUACAUUUUGUAAAUUAAAUUAAUAUCAUUACUUUUAUUAACAGUGUAAAGAAUCGGGAAAUCUAUGGCAAUAAAGUUUGAACAAAAAGUUCGGUCUUCUCUUCAUUUUGAUAAGUUGUGUUGUUUUAUGUACGUACAUUGGCAAUGUUUAGAAUCAUAGUUCUGCUAAAUUCAUGCUUAGUCUCUAAUGGUGGUACGUGGAGUUAUAUUGCAAUGUGUAACGUCCGCUUCCAACUCACACUCUCAAACACAUAGAUCCCCUAAACGCAGCUCA